CUUGGUCAUUUAGAGGAAGUAAAAGUCGUAACAAGGUUUCCGUAGGUGAACCUGCGGAAGGAUCAUUCACAAUAAGUGUUUAUGGCACUUUAACCAAUCCAUAUCCACCUUGUGUGCAACGUUUGAAUUUGAUCCGCGCGCUUGCGUGUGGAGAAAGAUUCUUAACCUCAUCAACUUAUUUUGAACUAGUUUGUCUGAAUUUAACGUAUCAUGAAUUACUUAAUUCUAAAAUACAACUUUCAACAACGGAUCUCUUGGCUCUCGCAUCGAUGAAGAACGCAGCGAAAUGCGAUACGUAAUGUGAAUUGCAGAAUUCAGUGAAUCAUCGAAUCUUUGAACGCACAUUGCGCUCUCUGGUAUUCCGGAGAGCAUGCUUGUUUGAGUAUCAGUAAAACACCCUCAGUUCCCUCUCUCUCUCGUUUCGACGGAGGAAAGGGGGAGUUGGACUUGAGUGAUCCCAACGGCAGUGAUUUUCGAAACACUGCUGGCGGGUCGCUUGAAAUGCAGGUGCGGCUGGACACAUCUUCUGAGCUAUAAGCAUUACUUAUUUAGUCCCGUUAAACGGAUUAUAUCUUAUUGCUGCAGCUAACAUAAAGGUCGAUUGUCUUUGUGCCCGACUGAUGCAGGAAGACAAAGGGAGAUGCAAGUCUCUUUUUGUUCAACUCGAUCUCAAAUCAAGCAAGACUACCCGCUGAACUUAAGCAUAUCAAUAAGCGGAGGAAAAGAAACUAACAAGGAUUCCCCUAGUAACGGCGAGUGAAGCGGGAUGAGCUCAAAUUUGAAAUCUGGCUGGUUUACUAGUCCGAGUUGUAGUUUAAAGAAGCGUUUUCGGUGGCAGCCUGGGUAUAAAUCCUUUGGAACAGGGUAUCAUAGAGGGUGAGAAUCCCGUCUUUGACUCAGUGCAUGCUACUAUGUGAUACGUUUUCAAAGAGUCGAGUUGUUUGGGAAUGCAGCUCAAAACGGGUGGUAAAUUUCAUCUAAGGCUAAAUAUUGGCGAGAGACCGAUAGCGAACAAGUACCGUGAGGGAAAGAUGAAAAGAACUUUGAAAAGAGAGUUAAACAGUGCGUGAAAUUGUUGAAAGGGAAACGUUUGACACCAGCUAUGUAGGCGGGAAAUCAGUCAACUGCAGUGAAGGGUUGUAUGGGUCCGGACCGCAAGGCCGGCUUAUGCGUCAUCUUUGUUGUAAGCGAUGCACUUUUUCGUCCGCAGGUCAACAUCAGUUUCGUUCGCUGGACAAAACUCCAAGAGAAGGUAGCAGCUUAGGCUGUGUUAUAGCUCUGGAGCGAUACAGUGGAUGGGACUGAGGAUUCGCAGUGUGUGCUCUCGGGCAAGGCUGAUUGGGUGCUCUGGGGUUGUUUGGCGUACAAUGCAUGCAUUUUGCGCCUUGUCGUCUUCAUACUCGCUCAACUCGGCUCUUCCACGCUUAGGAUGUUGACUUAAUGGUUUUAAACGACCCGUCUUGAAACACGGACC
rnacentral:rRNA from 1 species